CAGGGCUUGACAUGCAUGGGAAAGCCUGAGAGAUCAGGCCCUCCUUCGGGACUCAUGCACAGGUGCUGCAUGGCUGUCGUCAGCUCGUGCCGUGAGGUGUUGGGUUAAGUCCCGCAACGAGCGCAACCCUCGUUGCCAGUUGCUCUCUCUGGCGAGACUGCCGGGCAAAACCCGGAGGAAGGUGGGGAUGACGUCAAGUCAGCACGGCCCUUACGUCCUGGGCUACACACACGCUACAAUGGCCGGUACAGAGGGUUGCCAAGGAGCGAUCCGGAGCUAAUCCCAAAAAGCCGGCCUCAGUUCAGAUUGCAGGCUGAAACCCGCCUGCAUGAAGUCGGAGUUGCUAGUAACCGCAGGUCAGCAUACUGCGGUGAAUACGUUCU
rnacentral:rRNA from 1 species